rnacentral:rRNA from 1 species
AUUACCGCGGCUGCUGGCACGAAGUUAGCCGGGGCUUCUUCUCUAGGUACCGUCAUCAUCUUCCCUAGUGAAAGUGCUUUACAAUCCGAAGACCUUCUUCACACACGCGGCAUUGCUGGAUCAGGGUUGCCCCCAUUGUCCAAUAUUCCCCACUGCUGCCUCCCGUAGGAG